CCCGUCUUGUUUCCGGGGGAUGGAUGCCGGGGUUUGGAGCUCUUGGAGACGGUGGAACGCUUAUGCAUAACACCCGUUCUUCGUCUAGCGGUGCUACAGGCGGAGUUGAUAUUGAUGUGCCCAAAUUCCAUAUAGUUAUCUCUGGUUCCCCUGCAGCCUAAUGAGACAUGAGGAUUAUUGAGGUAUGAGAUAGCGGCCUCACAC